CCUACGGGAGGCAGCAGUCGAGAAUCUUCCGCAAUGGACGAAAGUCUGACGGAGCGACGCCGCGUGCGGGAUGAAGGCCUUCGGGUUGUAAACCGCUGUCACAGGUUAAGAAGGGGUCGGACGGUAAUAUCGUAUGGCUUUGACAAAGGCCUGAGAGGAAGCCACGGCUAACUUCGCCAGCAGCCGCGGU
rnacentral:rRNA from 1 species